AUUGAACGCUGGCGGCAGGCCUAACACAUGCAAGUCGAGCGGAUGAAGGGAGCUUGCUCCUGGAUUCAGCGGCGGACGGGUGAGUAAUGCCUAGGAAUCUGCCUGGUAGUGGGGGAUAACGUCCGGAAACGGGCGCUAAUACCGCAUACGUCCUGAGGGAGAAAGUGGGGGAUCUUCGGACCUCACGCUAUCAGAUGAGCCUAGGUCGGAUUAGCUAGUUGGUGGGGUAAAGGCCUACCAAGGCGACGAUCCGUAACUGGUCUGAGAGGAUGAUCAGUCACACUGGAACUGAGACACGGUCCAGACUCCUACGGGAGGCAGCAGUGGGGAAUAUUGGACAAUGGGCGAAAGCCUGAUCCAGCCACGCCGCGUGUGUGAAGGAGGUCUUCGGAUUGUAAAGCACUUUAAGUUGGGAGGAAGGGCAGUAAGUUAAUACCUUGCUGUUUUGACGUUACCAACAGAAUAAGCACCGGCUAACUUCGUG
rnacentral:rRNA from 1 species